ACUCCUGCCCCUUAGCUCAAAAAAAGGCACUCCUGCCCCAGCCCCAGACCUCGCCGCCGGCGUCCAUGUCGUCGUUUCUCCACCGUCUCCCCCUCGUCCACACCCAAAACCCUACGCGGCGGAGGCGGCGCCGGAGCGCGAGACGGAGCGAGUCGAGUGGCCUCUCUGCUCACUCGCUCGGCUCCUGCUGUCUUGCCUUUCCCCUCCCCUCCCCCGCGAGCCGAGGACAGGCUGAAAAUUGGAAAUGCGCUCGUCUCGGUCGGUCGGACCGUCGGACCGCGUGACCGCUGCACAUGACCAGCUGGAAGAAACAGGUACUGGAUGAGCAUCUCCUGGUUCAAGUUGCAGAAUCAAUGUCUUUGAUAUUGUCAGAAUCAAGCCAUAUUCCAGAUUCUCCAUAUCAUUUGAAAUCUGGCUGCGAGCAGAAAUUUCACCCUUGAUGAUACAAAUGGGCAUUUGGAGAUAGGUGUUAUCACCUGGAGCUUGCAUUCAAACUGUACCUGCAAGAAUACUACAUCCAGCUGCCUCGUCUCUCCACAUAAACAUCCAUAUCAGGCAAUCAGCAGCGUGACGAAGAAUCCAUGCAGAUUUUGUAUUUUCAGCUGGGAAUAAAAGGUACUGUGUUGCAGAUCAGAUGGGCAUCUCCACCAGGACCUUGCUAGCAGAAAGGCAGAAGAUCAACUUUAAAUUGCUGAAAGUUCUCGCAUGACAAUCACAAGGGAAAGGCACCAAGGAAUUUCCCCGCACCGCAAACUACCUACACCUGACUUUCGUGGAUGAACUCUCUCCAUGCAUGCCAACCCUCGCUGCGGCGCUACCUAUGCUUCGUCUAUACUGUUUGAGGGCAGGCUGGAAACAGCGCUAAAGGUCAUCUAAUCCAGGUCAGAGCUGAAUCUAUUCUAGUGGAGUGCAGUCUUAUCAUUUGGCAAUCCUGCAUCUACAAAUUGCUGAUACAGCUUGCAGCAUAUAUACUGUUUGUCAUGACGGGCUACAGUACCGGCAUGGCAGGCUGCAGUAGCAAAAUGGGCCAAGAACAGGAAAACAGAGCAAGUCAGUCCCAUAGUUGGCAACGGGGUGGCAGCUUGCUGAUUGGUGGGUCCAGAGUCCAGAGACUGGGUCGGUGUGGAUUGCACUCUGUUAUGUAGAACGACAAUGACAAGUGGGCCUAAUAGUGGAGGAAUGAGAGUGAUGUACUUUAUGUUCUCGGGUGACGGGGACAUAACAUUGUUGCAGCAGCUUGUGCUGACUCCUGUGGGGCUAUGUAAUCUGUGCAAGAUUUUCACUUUCUAAGAGCUUACAGCAAUCUCAGGUCAAUUAAUCCAGUGUGAAGAACAGAACAGUGUGAUAACACGCAGCAGCAAGAAUGGGUUGGUCGGAGCAAUUCAGGAAUCUGGUUAUCAAUACUGCUGUAUAUUUACUUAUCUUUCACCAGAGUAAAGAGGCAAAGCCUAGCCGUUGUCCAUUGAUCGUAUAUUUUGGAUGGAUCUAGCUGUUCAGAGUGAAGGGAUUACUAUACACAUUCAACUGGAGCUGUCAUAGAUGGAUGGGGUUCAAACAUGGACUCAGAUCUUCUCGACGGGUUUGAAUGAGGAACGCGAUGAGAACAAGAGCUAAUUUGGACAAGAUGCCAACAUUUUCUAUUAGCAUACACACCGCUAGCGUCCAUCUUAAUCCUAUUUCAGGGCCCUAGUCUCUGAAACUUCUUUGUACCAUAUUUCAGGGCCCUGGUUUCUGAAAUGCCUUAUAUUUUGUGAAACAGUGUUGCUAAAUCUCAGUCGACCAGACUUGGCUAUGUCUCAGUCAAUGCUAUAUUUGUGAGAUUUUGCAUGGAGAUUUGCGCAAAAAAUUAAUUUAGUUUUUUUUUCUUA